rnacentral:tRNA from 1 species
AGCCGUGUAGCUCAGAGGAAGAGCAAACGCUUGAUAAGCGUUAGGUCGACAUCUCGGAAUUGUCCAUGGCUACCA